CCUACGGGACGCAGCAGUGAGGAAUAUUGGUCAAUGGGCGGAAGCCUGAACCAGCCAAGUAGCGUGAGGGAUGAAGGUACAGAGUAUCGUAAACCUCUUUUGUCAGGGAACAAAGGCGGGGACGCGUCCCCGGAUGAGUGUACCUGAGGAAAAAGCAUCGGCUAACUCCGUGCCAGCAGCCGCGGUAAUACGGAGGAUGCGAGCGUUAUCCGGAUUUAUUGGGUUUAAAGGGUGCGCAGGCGGUCUGUUAAGUCAGCGGUCAAAGCCCGGGGCUCAAACCCGGCCCGCCGUUGAAAACGGCAGUC
rnacentral:rRNA from 1 species